AGCAGACAUUGUCGGGUGUAGACCGGAUUGUGUUUGUGUUCGGUGGAAGCGCAAAUAUCAGCUUGCGCUUUUCCCAACCAUGAGCUUCGACUCUAGGGUGCAUGUACCAUGUGACGUCAUGUCUGUGUUACUGGAUAUCUGGUCUGUGUGACCGGAUAGCGUCAUAUACUUCAGUCUGUGUGACUGUUCGUCUGUUGCAUCAUCUGGACUAUUUGCCCUGAUGACGUAACGUCAUAUGACGUCAUGCCUUCCUGAGUGGUUGGUCUGUGUGACCAGAUGACGGCAGUCUUACUUGAUUGUGGUCUGUGUGAUCUUAUAAUGACAGACAUUCCUGUGUGGUUUGUCUGCAUGUCCUGAUGACGUCAGCCUUACCGCUAAUUAUCUGAACACCUUGGUGACGUCAUAUCGAUCUACUGGAUCAUCUGUGUGGCUAGAUAUCGUCAUACUUACAUUGUGCUGGACUUUGUGCCCAGAUACCGCCUACAGGAGGAAAAUCUAUGUGACCGUAGCUGGUGUGACUUGUUGUUGGGUGGACUGUGUGACUAGCCGCAACUCGGGAGGAAAGCUACCGUCUUUGAUAGGGCGAUUAUAUAUUAUAAAUAGGAAAUUCAUCUGUAGAUAUCAUUCAUCGUUUUGUGUGAGUGGGACUGAAAGAGAACCCCUGUGUGAGGAUGGUUGUGCGUUAUAUUUUUUCUAAUAUAAUGUAAAUAAACUGUAUAUAUUGUA